CACCCGAUGGCACAAGGUGUGCGUCUGCUAUGCUUGAAGGCUGGGGUUAAAGCAUUUAUGCAGAAGGCCCCUGUUCAAUUCGGGGUCGGGUGA